AAGUUAUCAUGCCCAUUCAUAUUAUUUCUGAUAAUCAUCAUGACACAUAUGACCCUCCACAUACACCAGCCAGAGUGAAGCGCGAAACCCCAGCAAAAGGCAGUUUUGACCCCGACAUUUACAUAGAUGCCGUUGGGGUACCUAGGGGGUGCCUAAUGAAUUUAAGCUAGAGAUGAAGUAGCUGUAGGUUUUGAAUCACUUUUUACCAUAGUCACUGCCAAC